CAGCCGCCCGGUAAUACGUAGGUGGCAAGCGUUGUCCGGAAUUAUUGGGCGUAAAGGGCUCGCAGGCGGUUUCUUAAGUCUGAUGUGAAAGCCCCCGGCUCAACCGGGGAGGGUCAUUGGAAACUGGGAAACUUGAGUGCAGAAGAGGAGAGUGGAAUUCCACGUGUAGCGGUGAAAUGCGUAGAGAUGUGGAGGAACACCAGUGGCGAAGGCGACUCUCUGGUCUGUAACUGACGCUGAGGAGCGAAAGCGUGGGGAGCGAACAGGAUUAGAUACCCGUGUAGUCCCUGUCUCUUAUACA
rnacentral:rRNA from 1 species